AUAUUUCUGAAGCUAUGUUUGGGUCACACAUAAGCAGAGAUACACUCAGUGAUUUCAGGAUUUCCUAAAAAUGCUGGAGAUUAUGUUGAAUUUUUAUUAAAUAGAGUUUAUAAAUCCGAUGGAACAUUCUCAAACCCUGGGCUGUGUUUCCAUAUGUCUGCGGUCUAUAGGUGUUGAAAUGCUCACCUAUACUUUGGGAAAAAAACCACAACAUUUUGCAAAAAUUGAAUAAAUGAUCAUUCGAAGCAAAAGCAUGCAGUUCAAAAGCUAAACCUCCCAUUGGAGAACAGAAAAUUUAAUGAGCUUUUAAUGGAAUGCAAUGCUCAGAGUAGUAAAUUAUUUGUUAGUUGACGAUGCAAUCAGCAUGCUGAUUAAGGUUGCUUGGUUUUUUACUAAACAUUAACUGAAUGAAAACGGGUAGUCCUUGUUCUGCUUGGGGGGCUUUAAGGAAGCAAAUGGACUUUCAGAACAGAGAUUGUCAAUAAAGGAAUACCCAUCCUGAGCUCUGGAUGUGUCCUCUGAGAAGGUACCCGUGACACAGAUCACACGGGACACCAACGCAGAUGCUGGGGGAAGGUUCCUCGACAGCUGAGUGUGGACAUGCUGAUCACUGAGCUUCUUGACACACAGCUGCUAAUCUCUCCUCUCAAGCUCACGGAGGCUGAAGCUGCCUCCAAACAUUGAGACGUGCCACGCCAACUCACGGCAAGGUCUCUAUUAUUGAGACUCUUGCAUAAUGACAUCUUUAUUCAUGUGAAAAUACAGGAUGAAUUUCAACUAUAUGAUAUUGUUUAUGUUCAUCAGAAAUGUUAUUUGCCUUUACGAAGUCUGGUUUCAAUGAACCGGCUAUGUAAUGGAUAUUAAAUAAACAUGGAAUUUUACAUGUUCACAA